AUUGAACGCUGGCGGCAGGCUUAACACAUGCAAGUCGAGCGGAGCGAGGGUGCUUGCACCUUAGCUUAGCGGCGGACGGGUGAGUAAUGCUUAGGAAUCUGCCUAUUAGUGGGGGACAACGUUUCGAAAGGAACGCUAAUACCGCAUACGUCCUACGGGAGAAAGCAGGGGAUCUUCGGACCUUGCGCUAAUAGAUGAGCCUAAGUCGGAUUAGCUAGUUGGUGGGGUAAAGGCCUACCAAGGCGACGAUCUGUAGCGGGUCUGAGAGGAUGAUCCGCCACACUGGGACUGAGACACGGCCCAGACUCCUACGGGAGGCAGCAGUGGGGAAUAUUGGACAAUGGGGGGAACCCUGAUCCAGCCAUGCCGCGUGUGUGAAGAAGGCCUUUUGGUUGUAAAGCACUUUAAGCGAGGAGGAGGCUUACCUAGUUAAUACCUGGGAUAAGUGGACGUUACUCGCAGAAUAAGCACCGGCUAACUCUGUGCCAGCAGCCGCGGUAAUACAGAGGGUGCGAGCGUUAAUCGGAUUUACUGGGCGUAAAGCGUGCGUAGGCGGCUUUUUAAGUCGGAUGUGAAAUCCCCGAGCUUAACUUGGGAAUUGCAUUCGAUACUGGGAAGCUAGAGUAUGGGAGAGGAUGGUAGAAUUCCAGGUGUAGCGGUGAAAUGCGUAGAGAUCUGGAGGGAAUACCGAUGGCGAAGGCAGCCAUCUGGCCUAAUACUGACGCUGAGGUACGAAAGCAUGGGGAGC
rnacentral:rRNA from 1 species